AUUAGCAGGGAAGUCCUCCCCCUCCCUUGGGAGCAAAGUCCUUCCUCUUCCCUUUUGGGAGUAAUGGAGAGAGAUGAUUAGCAUUUUACCAUGGCCAACUUAUCUUCUCUAAUGAAGAGUUUUCAUUUAAAGCUCCAAUAUUAAGAGAACUACCAGCACAGUGCACCAUGUUUAUUUUGAAGGGAAAGGAGAUGGAAUUGGAAGUCUGGAUGAGGAGACUGAGGCUGAGAAAGAAUAAGUGACUGGCUAUGAAGUGACAGAGACAGGAUUUAAACUCGGGUCUUCGUGAUGCCCACAAAAUUUUAUUGACUGUGUUACUUAGCUGCCUACAAAGCAAAGAUUGGGCAGGGCUCUAAAGCACUUACAUUUCUAGUUUUUGGAACACUUGAGAGCUUUAGAGAAUUGAAGUAACUUACCCAAAGGUCACAGAGCUGAUAAAAGUUCUCUUUUCCUCUACUUCUACUCCAGUGAAAAUUCUUCAACACAAGAAAGUCUCUUCCAAAUGAAGAAUAAUUCUCCCUUACAAACAGGAGGCAGGACAGGGAGAAGACAGCUCUAUUUUUCAAAUGAACAAACUAAAGUUCACACGGCUAGCCAGUGUGGGUCAAUAAUGGGUCCAGAACAGAGGUUUCCAGUUCUACUUGUCCAAGGCUCUUUUCCAAGGCACCACGAAGUCUCUCAAAGAUAUUCAAGGGAAUAUUGGUUGAUUGUGGCUUAAGAAGUUAGUUUACAUUUAACCAAGCUUUGUCCAAAGGAAGGUCUCCCCAGGGCUGGCAGAAUCCAAUGUGAGAGAUCGUCUCGGGUUGAGGAGGAGGAUAAAAAAGCUUUACUACUUUCCUAUGAUUCUCCCAACUUCAGCAUUGUCUAUACCCUGAUAUCCGAGGCAGCUCCAUCUGAAAAACAAAGCAAAACAAAACAAAGCAUUGUUCAUGAGCCAAAAAGACAGACUUUUCCACUGGGAUACAUACAAAGACAUAGACUGAGUGAAUAUUAUAGAAUAUGUUUCCCAGAUGGUGAUCGACCGAUAAUGCUGGCAUGGAUAUGGCAAGAGUUCUGAAUGACCUGGACAAAGAGGAAACUACAAAUGGGAAAAUGUGUGUGAAAACCCAAAGACCUCCUCAUGAUUAUCCCUGGAUGGUUUAAAUUCAUUUAUUCAAGAUGCAUUUCUUUAUUAAGCAUUUCCUAUGUGUAAGAGGCAACAGGUGAACUGGAGUUAGAGAGUCAGCCUUGGAACUCAAGUCCUGCCUCUGACAUAUACUGGGAAAAAUCAACAAACUUCCCUUCACUCUGGGAAAUUUUCAGACAAUGUAUCACAGAGCAGAGUGCCAAGCUGCAGUUGUGGAGGGAGUUUCCUCAUCUUGGAGUUUGCCAUAUGAAAGAUUUCCCAAGUCUAGUCAUUCCACUCCCUAUGUAUAGGACCCCAUGCUAUAUACUAUGAAGAUGGGGAUCGGACUGGGGAGGGAUAAUGAUAGCCCUCUUUUUCUAAAGGGUUUUAUCUUUAACAGAGCUGAAAGGCUAUUGAAUUUUAGAGAUGAGAAAACUGAGACAAACAGGGUUAGUAAGUGUCUAAGGCUGGUUUUGAACUCAGAGCCUCUUGACUCCAGCCCUAGCUCCAUCCACUACAGUAUCUACCUGCCCCAAGGACUGAAUGAAGUGAAAAUGCCAUCUCUGCAAUUUACUGUCUGGAUUGGCAAGUUUGAAACUUUUUUGGACAAUUCCCUCAUCAGUUAAAUGAAGGAGUUGAACUAGAUGAUCUCUAAGGUCCUUUCCACUUGAAAUUCUGUACCUGAAGACCCACAACAUCUGCUAUUAUUCCACUAAGAGGGCAGCCUCAAUUUUCACAUUUGAGAGUAUAGUCUGAAUAAAGCGAUAAGUAGAAUGAGUUAUCAAAGUCCUUUAAAAAAAUAAACCCUUAGGUUCUGUCUUAGUAUCAUUUCUAAGACAAAAGAGCAAUAAGGGCUGGACAAAUGAAGUUAAAUGACUUGCCCAGGACCACUAAGAAAUGUUUGAAGCCAGAUCUGAACCCAGAUUAUCCUGACUCCAGGUCUAGUGCUUUAUCUAUCCUCUGUGCUACCCAGCUUCCACUCAGUACACUUUUUAAAAAUUUUCCAUCCAUCCUCUAUAGAAAAAAAAUGAGUAUUUGAUGAGCAACUGUAUAGUUUUCUUAGGAAAAAUAACAUGCUCAAAGAAUUUUGUAAAUAAGUAAAGGCAAUACAUUUAAUUUUUUUGUUUGAAAUUUCCAAUUUAGUCUAUUGGGGAAAUUUUUCAUGAAGUGACUUCAUUUCCUAGGUGAGAAACAUUUAUGAAGAGAAGUCGUGAUCGUUCAAGAUUGCCCAGGGUUCACUUAGAGCAGGUCUUGGCAAAUUAGCCUCUUUUCUUUUGAUAAGGUAACUUGAAUAAUAAGAAUAAGCUGAAUAUCAUAGACUCAGACUACCUGGAUUUCUGAAGGGGAUUUCACAAUAUUACUCUUGCUAUUGCCAAAGACAAGAUGUUCCAGUGUGGUUGGAUAAUGGAUCAAUUUCCACCUAGAAGGUUUUUAGUUAAAACCUCAUGAGCUUGCAAACUCCUUGUAGCUGGAAGUGUUCAGACAGAGGCUGGAUGAGCUCCAGUGACUUCCUUUUGCCUUUAGGAUCAAAUACAGAUGCCUUUGUUUGGUAUUUAAAGCCUUUUACUCAUAAUCUGGCCCCAGCAGUUUAUUACAUAUAAUUCAAAUCAAUCCUCUUGUUUUUCCAUAUAUAACAUGCCAUCUUAGCUCAGUGCCAGGUAUAUAGUGAGCACCAAACAAGCAAAGCAAUUAAUGCAUGAAUGAAUGAGCUUUUUAAAAAAUAAAUAAAUGUUCUUCUCCUCUCUCCUCCUCUCCCCACAUCCCCUCCCCUCCCUUCCUUCUUCUUUGUCUUGACUUUUUUGUUUCCACACCUUUGUUCCACUGUACCUACUUUAGCCACCUUCAUGGUCAUUGGAAAGAAAUGUUCUCAUCCACUCAUUUUACUGGGAAAUCUUCAAGAGCCUGAGGUAUUCACCUCCCAGUUACCCUCAACCUUGGUUAGCCUGUUUUCCUGCCUUUAGAUGGUUGGUUUUACUGGGAUGUGACCACUGCACAUGCUAUAGUUUAUUAGAACACAUGAGAGUUGGGCAAGAGAUGGACAACAAAGAUGGAUGAGCAGUCCUGAAAAGGACUCAGCAAGCUCUCCCAGCAGAGAUGCUAAUUCUCCCUGCAUAUCCCAAGGUUGAAGGCACCAAAGUCAUUCACUGUAUGUUGAGUCAUGGCUAGUCAUCCUGACUUUUGUCUUAUCACUGGUCAUCGAUGACCAUGGAAGAGAGAGUGAUGAUGAUGACUUUGUGCAACUCUGCAUCACUUAAAUUCAAUUAACUUAUAAAUCAGGACAUCACCUCAUAAUGUCAUUGGUCCUCUGAAAAUGGAGGAACAACAACUUUCCCUCAGCUGUCCCCAUGUUUGAAAUGCACCCCCUUCUCAUCUCUAGGCUCUUAGAAUCACUAGCUUCCUCGAGAAUUCAGCUUAAGCCUUUCCUGAUUCCCCAACUGCUAGUGUAUACUCACAUAUUACCUUACCUUAAUUUAUUUUCUAUAUAUUUAUGUGUACAUACCAUUCACCUGAUAGACUGUAUUUAUUGCAUGAGGUCUUCAAGGGCAGGGACUGUUUUGUUUUUGUAUCCCCAAUAUCAGGGAAAUAAUCAGUACUUAAAAAUGCUUGAUAAAUAAAUGAUUGAUGAAAAUUAAAGGGAAAGGGAGUAGGGCAUAUAGGUGGCACAGUGGAUUGAGAGUCAGGCUUAGAGACAAGAGGUCUUGGGUUCAAGACGCUUCUAGCUCUGUGACCCUGGGCAAGUUACUAAAACCCCACUGCCUAGCCUUUACAAUCCUGCCUUAGAACCAAAACACAGUAUUGAUUCUAAGAAAAGGCUAAGGUUUUUUUAAAAAAAAAGUAAAGAUAAAAAGGAGCCUUCUAGUUCUUCUUUAUCCUUUAUACCUCAUUUCUUAUGGUUAUUAAUUCUCUAAUUCAUGAAUUUAUUAUUUCAUUAGUAAAGGUCCUCUAUUCACUGGUAUAGAUUACAAACCCUCCAUGCCUUAGGAAAUAACUUCUUUCUUUCUUUAUUGAUUCAUUCAGUUAGGUAUUUGUUAUUUGUUAUUUCCUUGUUUACCCAUUCAUUGAUGAGUAUAUUCAUUCAUUCACAUAUUUGUUGUUGGUUGUUUUGGGGGUUAGGAGGAUUUGAUUAUUAAUAUUUCCUUUUCUUUGUAUCCUCGGUGUUUAGCACAGUUCCUGGUUCAUGAUAAACAAUACUUAAUGAAUUUCCUAUACCCCAAAUUUUAUCCCAGGGUGACCAAAUCUCUGUUUAAGAGCUUCUUUAUACUUAGUUGAUAGAAACUCUAUCCAUUGUUAGAUCCAUAAAUGGAACCUUUCCAGUUGGGUAGGCUCUUGAUAACACAUGCCCCACUGCAAAACUCAGUCAACUCAAUAUCAUAGCAAGGCAUGAGAGUUGAACUUUAGUGGGGCAUUACUAUUACCAGAUAUUUCAAUAUAGAUUUAUGUAUCUAUAUAGUCAUGUUUAAUCUGGAAAUCUGAUUAGAUACCUACUCAAAAGUUGAUUAAUUAGCCCAUCAAUUUUCUAGCAGUCCCAAAGAAGUGGAUGAGACAGAAUGCAAACAAUUACAUAAAAUAGGAUAUAUGUAUAUAUAAUUAGUAUCAUAUACAUAUUUAUAUAUGUAUAUACAAUAUAUACAUAUAUCACUAGAUGUUUUGAAAAAGGUUGUUGGUAGGAUGAGAGAGGAAAUAGUAAAGUGCAAGAAAACUGGAAAAGAAGGGGGACCAGAUUCUGAAGAACUUUCAACAUCAAACAAAAGAUUUCAUGUUUGAUCCUGGAGGUGACUGGGAAUUAUAGAAAUCCAUUGAAUGGGAGUGGCAGAGGUGGUGGUAGUAUUGGUAAUGUCAAGGUCAAACCUGCACUUUGGAGAGAUAAAUUUGACAGCUAAGUGGAGGAUGGACUGGGAGAGGGAAAGUUUAUAGGUAGAGACACCAACCAGAGCCCAUUGCAAUAGUAUAGAUAUGAAGGGAAAUGCAUGAUAAUCAAAUGGUCAGAGCUUCUCUGGGAGGGGAGAGGGAAGAAUGAAGAGAGGAGGGAGACAACAAAAAUCAUGUAACCAGGGGAAAUUUUUAAAAAUGAAAAAAAUGGUCAGCUUUUCCAUGAUAUAAGGAAUAGACUGAUUUGGGAGUGUGAUCUCUCUAAUCCUAGAUGUUUUGAAAAAGUUGGGUAAAUGACUACUGAGAAUAUAGUAGCGCAAAUUCAUUUUUCCCAUACAACUUGAGGUAGAUAAACAGACAAAGUUAAUACAUACACAGAACAAAAAAAGAUACAUACCCACAAAACACAUCCAAAACAAUCCUUUCUCUCAAUGUCUUCACAGUCUAUUAUUAAAGAAAGGGAAUUCUGAGGGGUCAUGGAAACAGAGAUGCCACCUAGUUCCAUUACAUUGGUAUCUAAACUGUAAUGAUAGCUUAUGAAUCCAGAUUUUAAAAUGUCAGUGUCCCAGGUAUAUGGUAUUCUUAUGAUUCAGUAAUUAUGGUCUGAGGCAGCAUAUUCUAGUCAAUGGAAGGCUGAACUAUGAGUCAGAAAGUCCUGAGUUUACUCACUCAACCAGUAAACAUUUGUUAAGUUCCUACUAUGUGCCAGGCAACAUCCUAAGUUCCAGCAAUACCAAAAGGGGCCAAAGACAGUCCCUGUCAUCAAAGAGCUUACAAUAAAUGGAAAAACUUGCAAUCUAA